UACGUAGGCAGCAAGCGUUGUUCGGAGUUACUGGGCGUAAAGGGUGCGUAGGCGGGUCUUUUAAGUCAGGGGUGAAAUCCUGGAGCUCAACUCCAGAACUGCCUUUGAUACUGAGGAUCUUGAGUUCGGGAGAGGUGAGUGGAACUGCGAGUGUAGAGGUGAAAUUCGUAGAUAUUCGCAAGAACACCAGUGGCGAAGGCGGCUCACUGGCCCGAUACUGACGCUGAGGCACGAAAGCGUGGGGAGCAAACAGG
rnacentral:rRNA from 1 species